UUAAGCAUAUCAAUAAGCGGAGGAAUU
rnacentral:rRNA from 2 species